UGCGUAGGCGGUUUGACAAGUCUGAUGUGAAAUCUAUGGGCUCAACCCAUAGUCUGCAUCGGAAACUGUCGGGCUUGAGUAUGGGAGAGGUGAGUGGAAUUUCCGGUGUAGCGGUGAAAUGCGUAGAUAUCGGAAGGAACACCUGUGGCGAAAGCGGCUCACUGGACCAUUACUGACGCUGAGGCACGAAAGCUAGGGGAGCAAACA
rnacentral:rRNA from 1 species